UGGAACCAAGUCACUAAGUGAUUCAUGAGACAGGAGAACGGUGCUUUCAACUCAGCCCAUCCAAUGUCCUUUUGACCGAAGGAAGAAAAGUUUACUUUGCACAAAGAGAGGAACUGUAAGAAGAGAGAAAGAACUCUUGCCUGAGUGCUGUCCCAGGGUGUUUUAAGCUGUCUGAGGUACCGAAAAAGAAGUGGAGAGAACCUUCAAUUUAUCAGGCUCUUGCUACAGAUGUUAUUUGAAAAUUAUGGCAUCAGCAUUUCCUUUCUUGGGUGAGAUCAUAUCAUUUGAAAGAACAUGGAUGGACCUAGAGG